rnacentral:rRNA from 1 species
GACGAACGCUGGCGGCGUGCUUAACACAUGCAAGUCGAACGGAAAGGCCCUGCUUUUGUGGGGUGCUCGAGUGGCGAACGGGUGAGUAACACGUGAGUAACCUGCCCUUGACUUUGGGAUAACUUCAGGAAACUGGGGCUAAUACCGGAUAGGAGCUCCUGCUGCAUGGUGGGGGUUGGAAAGUUUCGGCGGUUGGGGAUGGACUCGCGGCUUAUCAGCUUGUUGGUGGGGUAGUGGCUUACCAAGGCUUUGACGGGUAGCCGGCCUGGGAGGGUGACCGGCCCCAUUGGCCCUGAGGUACGGCCCAGACUCCUACGGGAGGCAGCAGUGGGGAAUUUUGCACAAUGGGCGGAAGCCUGAUGCAGCAACGCCGCGUGCGGGAUGACGGCCUUCGGGUUGUAAACCGCUUUCGCCUGUGACGAAGCGUGAGUGACGGUAAUGGGUAAAGAAGCACCGGCUAACUACGU